AUCAACAACGUACUUUCCCCUUGCGGAAUCUCCCUGCCGUUUCCCGCUGCUGCUUGUGUAAGACGGACUGGUCUGAAAGCCCGGACAGACACACCACCAAGAAAGCUGCCCCUGUGGCCAGAGAACUUCCUUGAGAAUGGAGUUUCAACCAGUUACCUGACAGCUGGGAGCAGGGCUCAGAACUAUGUGGGUGUAUGUUUUGAUGCUCAAGCAAGAAAAGUGAUUCAACAUGAACUCUGCCAAAAUAAAGCUGGCUCAGACAAGGGA